CGGACGGGUGAGUAACACGUGGAUAACCUACCUAUAAGACUGGGAUAACUUCGGGAAACCGGAGCUAAUACCGGAUAAUAUUUUGAACCACAUGGUUCAAAAGUAAAAGACGGUCUUGCUGUCACUUAUAGAUGGAUCCGCGCUGCAUUAGCUAGUUGGUAAGGUAACGGCUUACCAAGGCAACGAUGCAUAGCCGACCUGAGAGGGUGAUCGGCCACACUGGAACUGAGACACGGUCCAG
rnacentral:rRNA from 1 species